UCCGCUUCGAAUAUAUGGGUUUUUGCCAAAAACUUACAAAAAUUGUUUUGGCACUUCAAAGACCUUAGGAACGAGUUGAAAACAUUUUCCAAACUUUUUAAAUUGAAAGAUAUACCCUUGAUAGAUCACAUUUGACAACAUUCCACUCUCACCUUUUACAUUCAGCCUAUAAAGAUUAAAUCUAUUCAAUUUUUUCUUUGAUGCUUAUUCAUCUUAUUCUUGUUGAGAUGAUAAUAUUUUUAGAGACUAAAUAAUUUUUGUAUACCUCUUCCAUCAAAAUCUUUCUAAAGAGUAACCUAUUAAAGUGAUUUAUAUACCAAAGGUUAGAUUGAUUACAUUAAAUUGUAUUAUCAUCAAAAUCAAAUUCAUUAGAGCUUAUGGGGCCAAUAGAUGGCAUGCUUAAGAUAGAUCAAAAGGUUUCUUUGGGCUAUCCACAUUCAAUAUGAAAACAAUGAUUUAAGGGAAUAAUUUGCCUAGCAAGCCUCAACUUGGGCUAGCAAACCGAAACCAUUAAAUCUUCUGAGGUAGAAUUGGAAGUUUAUGAAUUAUAGUUACUAUGAAUUAGGAAGUUUAAG
rnacentral:misc_RNA from 1 species